rnacentral:rRNA from 1 species
AUGCCUUACACAUGCAAGUCGAACGGCAGCACGGGGCAACCUGGUGGCGAGUGGCGAACGGGUGAGUAACGAAUCGGAACGUGCCCGGUAGUGGGGGAUAACCAGUCGAAAGACUGGCUAAUACCGCAUACGACCUACGGGUGGAAGCGGGGGACCGCAAGGCCUCGCGCUAUCGGAGCGGCCGAUUUCCGAUUAGCUAGUUGGUGAGGUAAAGGCUCACCAAGGCGACGAUCGGUAGCUGGUCUGAGAGGACGGCCAGCCACACUGGGACUGAGACACGGCCCAG